AUAGAUAGUAGCACUAUGUUUAACAAAAUAACAAUUUGGGGGCUCUGGCCAUCUGGCCAUAGAGUGGGAAAAGCGGACUGAACAGCAUCGUGUCGUGAGAGACGGCACCACGGCUCGGUAUAAGCGUUCCUAACAUAUAAUUAACUUUAAGAAGUAAGAAAUUUCAAAGGUUAUAAUAACUCGGUGAAUGAAUUGUUCUCUAUUCCAUAAUUUAUAUCAAGGCAAAUAACCGCUCGAUCUAAUUAUGCGAAAAAUUAAUGGAAUAGUGCGUAUCGCGAUACACGUACUCUGUACUUACAUACGGUUAAGUGGAACGUCUCGCGUAAGAGGAGCUCAGCGGUAAGUUCGGUAAAUCAAACGUCGGACAGGGAUUCGUUCCGAUUAAUCGAGUACAGAUAAACGAAAUCCCACUGCGUAUAUCAUGAUCUGGUGUUUGUUCGUUAUUAUUACUUGCAAAUACUACUCCAUACAUCAUUUUUCGUUUGAUCGCGAUGAAAAGGAGGAACGAGACCACGGGGAAAAAUGAAGAUCAGAAACGAACGAUCGCGCGUAUGCUUCUGAGAAUACCUAUGCGUUGUACGUCGCGCAGCAACGACAAUCGCGCAAUUUCUCCGAAACCAAGCGUACUAGAAAUUGGAAAAUAAAUCGAGGGAACGAUCUACGAACGAUCGCGUUCCUUCGAAACUACAUAGUAAAUGGAAUAGAGAAUCGAUCGAAAAAGACUCUCCUGCCGUUUAAUUAAAUAAUUAAUUAAUCGAUCUGUACGAAGUAAUUUUCUACAAUGUGCGAAAUCGAUCGUUUGCCUUUUCGUUCUGUAUUCACUUUCAAAUCAUCGUUCCUAUAUAAAUAAUACACGACUGCCGUCGCCGUAGAGAUAUUUUAGCCACAGAGAAUUUAUUACAGCGACCAGUCGGCGUUUUUACUUAUUUCGUUGUUCGCCAUGAUAUGAUGCGACGCGAUACAAGGGACGACCAUCGGACAAGCUAAAAAGACGAUCGAAACACGCUUUGCUUCGCACCUUCGAAGGACGCUUACAGGAGCGAACAAGAAUCAUGAAAAACACGAUAGGCAGCAAGGUUCCCAGACCUUGUGAUCGUUCGAUUUUGCAAGACUUUGCAUCGAAAGAUCGCCUAAUCUCAAAUUUAUGUAUGUACGUAUCUAUAAAGUUUUCAACAUUCUCCAACUGCUUACUUGCAACUCCUAACAUUCCAAAUUUCAUCCUGCAUUCUCUUCUUUCGCGUAAACGUAUUUCGAUUCGACGAUUUCGCUUCGAAGAAAUAGUUUCUUUCUAGGUAAAACGUGUCUUUUCGACGUCACGUUACGGCAAUCUGUCUUCACGAUUCGAGUAUUAACGCUGUCCUAAUUUAUUCUCCGCGUGUCCUAUUCGGCUCGUACCUGUUGCCCGGGCUCUGCUGUGUCUAUGCACUCCUGUGUUAACUCAGAACAGGUGGAUGCAGAGGUCAAACGUAACGUCGAAACUAGUCGUAAAUCAAGGUGAACCGAGGUGGUUCGCAGUAGGCGCAGAUAUAACGGUGACGACGGUCAAGUCACCGCGGUGCCAUGGCCUCCUUUCCACGCCAACGUUCGCCCCUCUUCCUCUUCCCCUUUUGCCUCCAUACGACUCGCGAUACCUCUUCUUCUUCCACUUGGCCAAUUCGUCUAACUGUACACCGUAUAUUCGUUCGUAUAAUCCGUUUCUUUCCGUACGUUGAAACGCGUGUACACGAUUAUAUUUGGCUCGUAGUCGCGCUCGCGUCGUUCGCAUUUGGAACAGCGAUCAGGUAUAACAACGAUAUGAAAAUUCGCGAAAUCGAAAUCGUAAUCGUUCUCAACGAAUUCGAAGUAGCUACUUAUCGAUACAAGAGACACGUUCGAAAAAGAAUAAAAGAACAGUAGCAUGCAGUCGUAAGAGAAACGCUUAUAGUUUGAUCAUCGGUCAACUUUAUUCUACGUUCUACGUAUAUUCACGUCGUCUUUGAUAAGUUAAUAAUUUAUACACGCGUAGUCCGUUUCAGCGGUUAUCUAAAGUAUCCAAGUAUCUAAAAUGACAGAAUUAGUUUAAAGAAGAAAGACACGCUUACGUAAUUAUAUACGAUAUUCGGUUCUGUUAAAUUAGAACAAGAGACGGCAAUUAACUCGAAACGAUGAAUACACGUAGACUAGCUAAAUGUUGUAUCUGUGGCUGUACAAACACGCAUUCUAACAAUAUCCAACUUUUACGUUGGAAUAUCUCAUGCGAGAGGAUAUUGCGGUACAUUGUCUUUGCACCGCUAAUUAACGUUGAUGAGAAGAAGGUGAUGCAUGAUCUAAAAUCUAAACAGAGUAAAAUCUGGUGCCAAGUGGCGUCGAGUGAAACGACUCCCGAAGCUAAGCAUAAAACUGCGUUCGUUGCGACUUUGCACGAUGAUCCAAUUAUCCAAGAGAAAUUGCAAGUGAUCCAUGAAAUUUUCUUGGUAACGCUGGUAUAGUAGCGAUACUCUCGUUGUAGAAUUUCCUUAUUCGAAUAAAAGAAGAAAAAAAAAAAAAAUCGAAACUGGAUUUCCAUACCAUGAAAUUGUACCGUGAAACGUUACACAACGAUGACUCACGAAGCUAUCGAAUACUGUAUCGACCGUCGUUCAAUGUCCAAGUAAUCGAAUAUGCAGAAGACACGAUCGUUUCAGGAAUACACGGACUAUUUAGUCGAAUAAGUAAUAACAGCUAUACGUUCGAAUGUUUCGAGAAAAAAAAAGCAGAAUGUCGGCGAAAGGCUGCGAUUCGAAUAUGUUAAGAUCGUAAGAAGCAACGUAUAACGUGACGAUAAUUUCGCCCAAGUUAUAUCGUGUCGCGUAAUCGUGUCAGUAUUACAAAGAAUAACACGUUUAAUAAUGACAAUUUUCAAGAAACCUAUGCACGAUGGAAAAUUUACAUAAGUAGCGUUUAUAUCUGCAUUUACGUCCUGAUUCCAGACAGCUGUUAACGCCGAGUUUGUUAAGAAGCAGGAAGACCACGUUUAUCUCGAUGGUGCAUCUAAGAUUUAGCGAUCGCUGUCACACGUUUUCCAACGCGCGAAAACAGUAUGUCCGAGACGUGGGAAAAAGCCAUGUACCUACCAAGUUAAUUCAAUCUCUAUGAGAAUUCGCUCUUUUGUUACAGCUACGUGCGUAUUCUACUCGUCUCUUUAUCUAUCCUAUGCAUCGAAGUCGUACGUAUACUCGCCUGCAACGCAUUCGUCGUUCGGCGUCUCCGUAAUUCUUUAUUUAGUUUCACUUUAAUGAACGUCCGUUAUAUGUCAUCGAUCGCGGCAUCUUAAGUAUAAGUCAACGAUUCAAAUUUCAUCGAGACGUGUAAGACCAAUGUCGGUAUAUGAAAAAAAAAAAAAAAAAAAAAAAAAAAAAAAAAAAAAGCUCGAUUUAUCAUCACCUCUAUUGUCAUUAUUUACAGAGAAAUUAUUUUCUGCGAUAAAUAAUCGAAAAAUUCGAAUUCUCUUCGUUUCGAUUGAUCUUCCUUGAAAUCUCGAAUGUAACGCAAGUUUUUUUAUACGGCAACGAUCCUAAAGUCGAUUCGUGUCGUACGAGUCCGCGUAUUCAAUUUUCUAAUAACACCUUUCCUAGUGAAACGAACGUUCCAUCGAAACACAGGUACAACUUACGACCGAAUAUCUACGACUUUCGCGUUAUCCAAUUAUGGGAUAGGUGUAUGCGACUCCUGACAUUUUAUAAUCAUAAUAAUUCAAUCGACUCGUUUUGGUGAUCCGGCCGAAUUUACAUUUACCAAUCGUACUUAUACGCGUCCCUGGUAACGGUCUUACGUAAUAAUCGAGCAGACAAAAUAUAAAAACAUACCGAUAGAACUAGUAGCACGCAGCUUUCGCUUUCUCUGGUUCAACAGACUAGUUUCUCUAUCAUUUUCUCCGAAAUGUUUACAUUUACAUUUACACGCAAACUAAAUACCUUUCGUCAAAAACGUUAUAAAUUACGACAAAAAAAAAAAGAAAAACGAAGAAAAUUACGAAACUGAACAACCAUUUUCAAGCGUAUGCCCAUUAUCAUGUUCCGUAUCCUUGUUUCUCGUUCUUCGACUUCAUCGAUACCUAAAGUUUCUAUUUUAUAAGUACAUGUGCGCGAUUCCAAUCAAAAAGGAAGAUCCAAGAUCUUUGAUAGAUGCACCUUGGUAUGCGUUACCAACGAAACAAUACAUCGCGACCUUAAGAUACCCACGGUUAAAGAAGAAAUAUCCAAGUUCAGAAACAGAUAUAAUAUAAGAGUUGACAUAAGAGUUACUAUAAGAGUUACUUGACACGACGGACCAGAUUCGCAGAUUAAAAAGACGAUACCCUUUAGAUCGAAGCAUUAGAUUCAAACAUACUCUAAACAUAUUAGAAUCAAACAUACUAUAAACUCUUAUAAUCCAAGUUACAGUACCACGCCAAAAGAAUUUACUUAUAAUUGAUCAAUGAGAAUUGAUUGUAAAUAGUCUACCAAAUAAAAGAAAAAAAAAGAAAAAGAAAAAGAAAGAAAAUCUCGCCUUUAAAAGGAUUCGGAUAACGAAUUGGGAGUGUCGCUCGUCGUCGAAUCGGAGGAAACGGUACAUGUCGCACGAAGGAAGUCAGCAACAAGAAGAACCGGUCGACUCUGUAUCUACGAUGUACAAUAAUCAUUUCGUAUCUGUCAUUUUUCCAAGGCCGAUACCUCUCCAUCCCUUUUCCACCUACUACAUUUUAUCAAUUUCCACAACAAUCGAGCAAAGUUCUUUCUUAAGAAACAACAAUAAAACACUCCCAUGCCCGAUGAUUUCGAGAUUGUGCGUGUCACACGAUUUAACCGAAAGAAUCACAAGUACACGCGAAUCCACUUAGAAGUUGACCACAGGAGACGUCUGAAACCAAUGGCAAAGUGGAUAGGCAGGUUUUCUAUCAGAGACUGUCGAUCGGAGAAAAACUUGUCGCGAUCAACGUUAACCCCUUGCACUUUUGUCCCCCUUUUGGUUUAACAUGUUAUAUCUUGACGCGAAUUAGACAUAUAUCGUGCAGCUUUUCUUCUACCUUUACCCCUUUGUACCGCCGAUCGAUCGUGCUUAUUUCCAACUUUUGUUUCCAACUAUAUUACUCGUUCAACAAAAGGACCAGAUAUUUCAACUACUCGGAACGUAAUAUGUACAUCUUAGAAGGUUCGUAACUAUGCCAGGUAACGGUAACGAAAGUAAAUCACACACGCACACACAUAUGCCGCUAUCACGAUCACGUACGAACAUUCUGUUACAGGUUGGCUGUUCCGAUGAAGAUCACAUCGAUAGAAAGUCAGAUCGGGAUUAUUAUCCUCUCGCUUCUUGUUACUCGCAGCAAUGUGAGGAACGGCGAAUAGAUGGAAUAGAUACAGGUGUACGCGGAAAAGCAGAUAGCCGCGAUGCGGAACAAGGUAAAUUACAGAAAUAUCGAUUAGGAUACAAUCGAAUAAAAUCACAAUUCUCGCGCACUUUCUACUAAUUGUACCGUCGAAUAGAAUGCUUCUAUGUAUUAUAGAUCUACGUAUGUCUCUAAUCGCGUAUUUACGAAAAAAUAGUAACCUAAAAAUUAUAAGCCAAUCAUCGUUGUAUGGAUAAAGGAAAUGUUAUUUAAUCGGAAAUUUAUGUAAGUGCCAAAGUUUCCACUUGAGCGUCUUUCGUUGUGUGCAGAUUGUUCUCAGAUUUACAGAGAUAAGAGAUUUCCGAUACGAGGUUUGCGAGUCGCUUUGGGGACUGAAUGAGUCUUGGAACUCGAGGGAAUUUGCGGUGCCUCCUAACUUUCCCAGAGUGAAAAAAAAAAAAAAAAAAGAAAAUCGAGUUCAAAGAUGGUUUAAGAAGAAAAAGAAUAAGAAACCACCGUCUACCAUUGAACGAUCAAACCACGCUGCUGUAUCUCGUCUAGAUUUUCAUGAUACACCAACAGCACGAUGAAAUAAUAUUUAUUAUGAUUGUCACGACAGGCGGAAGAAUAGAGUUUGCGGUUGAACGUAAUUACUCCGUGCGUAUCACGAUAAUAUUAAUUAGUAACUUUUUAUAGGCAUCACGAUGCGCGGAAUCAAAUGUUUACAGGGACUACAGGUCACAGACUACAGAGUACAGAGGGAAUUCUUUCGCAUUGCAUAAUUACGUUGCAAUUAGAGUAGGUACAACCGCGCGUUGGUGGAGACAGGAAAAGGAAACGUCAAACCAAAGAUACCUACGUAGCCCUAAAGGCUCUAUUUCGAAAGCGAUCAAACGUUUGGUACACCGCGCCAACUAUCGACGAUAGGAUAACGUCUAAUAUACGUAAAAUGAAUAAAAUAUAUAGUUUUGAGAAUAAAUUAUAUAUGAUAUAUGCAUGAUUCUUACAAUCAGUUAAAUGCGUUAUUAAACACAAGUAAUAAAAUUUAUUAAAUUAGAUAUUUCAAUGAAACAAUGCUUUUAUCCUACAACGUCUAUCACGUUGAACAGAGUUUAAGUACUUGGACGAUUGGACACAUUCCCAUAAGUAGUAUAUAUAUGUACUUACCAUAACUGUGUACGCUAGUGUAUGCUCAUGCGUGUGUUAUAUACGCCGGUGUGUCACCUAGUGUUACUGUCUGCUGUCGAACCCAAGCAUGUCUAUAAAAUAGCCGGUAACACUAAUCGGUCGUCGACGAAUUUGCUGCAAUCCAAAAUCACGAUUCUUGCUUGUUGGUUGUUACACAGUCGACACAGAUCACCAUAUGUAAACACACACACACGUUGUUUGCGACACGCGUGGGAUCGCGCAUGUAUCGAAGCGCGCACUCACAUCCACUGUAAUCGAGUUUGCACAGAAAAAGCCUUGUCUAACGUCUUCCUGACUUUCUGCUAAUUUAAGAAAACCCGAUGUUCAUCGCCAAUUUCAUCGACGGACGUUUUAACCAGCAUUCAAUAAAGAGUAAUUGUCAGCUCUAUAUGUUUCGCUGUAUUUCAUAUCUUCUUUUUUCCACUUUUCUCGCGCCGUUUUAAUAAAAAUGGGAAAAGUCACGUACGAAACGAGGAGAAGUCACGGAUUUUCAACCUGGCGGACACCGACUGAGCUCUCAACCGGGCAGGUAGGUAAGCCGUUGCCCCUCCACUCUAUUCACCACCACGAUCGCUCACCAUUCUCCAUUCUCUUUACCUUUGCUUCACUUCGCUUCGUCUUAUUCUUUCAUUUUCCUGCUCUCUACUUGCAUACAUCGAUAUACUUAUAUACGAAUAUUUAUAUAUAAAUAGAGUCUAUUGUCAUAUUAUAUCCCCGAAAUAUUUAAACAUCAAAUCUUAAUAUGUUGUAUUCGAUAUAUUCGUGUCAAUUAAGACUUGAUACACUCUUAAAUACGUGUAUGUAUGACGUUCUGAACAAAUCUUUUUAUUUUAGCACGAUAAAAUAAAAUAACAUGAACAUGUACAUAUACCUACAUACGUACACUAUGUAUGGAAAAUUUUAUCAUAUUACAUUUCGUAGAAAAUAAUUGUACCAACCAAUUAAUGGCAUAUAUAUGUAUAUAGGUGCACACGCACAAACGUGCGCGCACACAAAUGAUAUAUUUGUGGAACAGGUAAACAUAAUAAUAAACAAUAAUAUAAUGCUUAAUUUAUAGUUAGGAGUAAUUUUAUUUGCGGUACAUCAAAUAAUUAACUCGUACUAAUAAUUGCUGUUUCAUCUUGUUCUUGCUCUUUUGUUUCUUCUUCGUUACUUGUUGCAAGGUAAUCUUGAUGGUUAAUUUUAAAAGAUUCUUUAGACAAUUCACUACUUAUUUGAACUCUGCAACGUUUUUAAAUGUUUACAUUAUUGUGGUACUUUACUAUCUCAUAAAAGUUUCGUGUAUUAUUUACCAAUUUAAAUACAUAUAUGUACCUCUCGAUAAAUAAUCCAUCGCGUUUUGGUCUCAUCGAUUCAACGUCAUUAAUUAGCGAGGAAAAGUUUUCUUCCAAUUCCUGCGUGUCCAUGUUAAGC